CCGUGAGUAUAGGCCGGUACCUUGACGGUACCUAACCAGAAAGCCCCGGCUAACUACGUGCCAGCAGCCGCGGUAAUACGUAGGUGGCAAGCGUUGUCCGGAAUUAUUGGGCGUAAAGCGCGCGCAGGCGGUCCUUUAAGUCUGAUGUGAAAGCCCACGGCUCAACCGUGGAGGGUCAUUGGAAACUGGGGGACUUGAGUGCAGAAGAGGAAAGCGGAAUUCCACGUGUAGCGGUGAAAUGCGUAGAGAUGUGGAGGAACACCAGUGGCGAAGGCGGCUUUCUGGUCUGUAACUGACGCUGAGGCGCGAAAGCGUGGGGAGCAAACAGGAUUAGAUACCCUGGUAGUCCACGCCGUAAACGAUGAGUGCUAAGUGUUAGGGGGUUUCCGCCCCUUAGUGCUGCAGCUAACGCAUAAGC
rnacentral:rRNA from 1 species